GUCUAAACUAAUAUUAUAAAGAGCCUGUUUAGGUAAUUUUAAGUAUAUUCUAAGUAAAUAUAUUUGAUUUCUCAGACAGUUUCCACUUCCCAGUUUCUUUCCCCAGGAUGAUAUGCAGUCUACAGGAGGAGGUUUGGUAUGACCAGGCUGGCAGGGCUGGAGAGACGUAGUAAAAGGGACCACUGACCUCAUGCUUGUCCUCGGGCUUGCGCUGGCUCUCACACUCUGACGGGGGCUCACCUUCUUGCAUCUGCAACUGUUGGUAGAACUCUCGAUCUGGAUUCUUUCAGUUUGGUGGGGCCUGCUCUCUAUCACUGAGCGAGCCAGCCUCACAGGGCCUCCUUCCACCCAGCCCUCGCUGCAGCCCAUACCAGCCUUCUCCAGGGCCUCCCUUGUCCUGCCACACAGGCCUAUUGCUCCCCCAGCUUCGCAUCAGUUCCACGCAAGAACCUCAGAGGUCCCUGAGGCUCCCACUCACACCCCACCAGCUCACCUCCUGACCACACUGUGCUCUUUGCUCUAUGUCACUCUGAACUAUCUCAAACAUUUCCCUGUGCCUGAGCCUUAACGGGAAAAGAGAAAAAUCAAGAGACCUCUCAUUCCCAACAUUUAUGUAUUAAACAUGGAAAGAUGCUAAACAGUAGCUAAAGAGUUUUUUGUUAUGAUCUGUUACCAUAACAAAAACAACAACAAAAAUGUUCCAGAACUCAAAGGUGCAGCCCUAACUCUGUUCCUUCCUCCCUUCUAAGAUCAAGAGGUCAUUUGCCCACAUUCAUUGAAUCCACUCAAAUCAUGCAUGACAGAUGCUGGUCCAGGCCUGGCAUCUCAGAGAUGAAAAGCAGCCAGACCAUCAUAACAGAAGGGCCUCUCUAACAGAAAGAAACAUCAUCGCAGACCUCCUGUGGUUGCAGUCACCUUGGAUUUUACUGUAUAUUGAACAUUCAUCCUCAGUGCCUGACACAGUGCUCAUGCAGAUAGUAGUGUACUCCUUGAUUAACAAAGCUUAAAGAACAUGAGGUCAGCUUAACAAAGUUCUCUGUUAAAGAAAUUAAGAUGAAAAGGGGAAAUAAAAAUUGAGCUGGGAUUGAAUGAAAGGUAAGA
rnacentral:lncRNA from 1 species